GGUGGAAGCACCGAUCGCCCCGGAAAGGGAACCCGAGGGGAGUGCUCGGCCUCAAGUCCUCCUCCGCCCGCGGCUCCCGCAGCAUCCCGGCUCCGCGCCCGCGCCGCCCCGGCGUCUCUGCGUCCUCCUCCAUUGUCAGCCCCGCGCCCAGCUCGGCACCCCGGAGGCCCUGGUCGCGCGCCCUCGGCCCUUGCGAGCCAGCGUCCCCCUCCCGGUUCCCUCGGCGCCCGGGCGCCUCCCUCCUCCCUCCCCCGCUCCCCGAGCUCCGCAUCCAGGGCUCCCGGCACCGCCAGCCUGGCCGCGGGACCCCGCAUUUCGGCAUCCUCCCUGCUUGGCCCAGGGUGCCCCGGCCCCUCGCCAGCGGCGGGCAUCGCGCGGCGUCUUCGGCAAACCCCCCUUUUAUCUCCCGAGGAAGCAAGUUGGGCAGAUCGAUUUAUUAAUUUCUGUGGCAGAGUGGAACCACAGGGCCAGUUCGCGGAGCUGUCGGCUGCGAGGACACCGCUUCCCUAGAGCCCGGCACGGAGGCCUUGUGGUCACCAGCCACAGGCUCCAGAUAGCUCGACCCACCUUUGCUGGGCGAAAGAGGUGUGGGCGUUCAUCUGCCCAUUACGGGAUGAGAAGGUGAACGAAAAAAAAAAAAAGCAAGCCACGUUGGAUGCAGCCCUGAUCUGAAAUUACCAAACACGUUACUGUGUCGCGCACGGCGCCGAAGGAACCGAGAAUUUAUUCUGGUGAUUCGCUAGUAGUGAUGGAGAUCCAGAUGUGCUUCCUGGUGGAUGAAGACCAUGUGCCCCGGCAUCAUUUAAAAAUUGGAUUGCGUUAAUUUGCCAUCUCCCGACGGUUAUUGAGGUUAAGCACAAAGAGAGUGUCUAAAGAAGCAAUUUUUUGUAUUAGUUUCUGGAAAAUUCAUUGUGAUGGCGGUGCAGUGGACAGUAUCAGGUGACACUGGGCGCGUGUAGUUGUUUGGUCCCUGAUGAAAAACCACGUUGUCUUUUGUACUGUGAACCCUGUCAAGGGCACAUGGCUCUAGGGCCAGUCACCGUAAGCAUUCAGUUGAAUGGACGGUCCAUGGUGCCUCAGAUUUUUUCCUGCAUGAAUCAGAGGACUCUGG
rnacentral:lncRNA from 1 species